rnacentral:rRNA from 1 species
CCUACGGGGGGCUGCAGUAGGGAAUAUUGCUCAAUGGGGGAAACCCUGAAGCAGCAACGCCGCGUGGAGGAUGAAGGUUUUCGGAUUGUAAACUCCUUUUGUUAGAGAAGAUAAUGACGGUAUCUAACGAAUAAGCACCGGAGAACGCCGUGCCAGCAGCCGCCGUAAUACGGAGGGUGCAAGCGUUAACCGGAAUCACUGGGCGUAAAGGGCGCGUAGGCGGGGUAGCAAGUCAGAUGGGAAAUCCUUAGGCUUAACCAUAAAACUGCAUUUGAAACUGGUAUUCUAGAGUAUGGGAGAGGUAGGUGGAAUUCUUGGUGUAGGGGUAAAAUCCGUAGAGAUCAAGAGGAAUACUCAUUGCGAAGGCGACCUGCUAGAACAUAACUGACGCUGAUGCGCGAAAGCGUGGGGAGCAAACAGGAUUAGAUACCCCAGUAGUC